UACGGGGGGGGCAAGCGUUGUUCGGAAUUACUGGGCGUAAAGGGCUCGUAGGCGGCCAACUAAGUCAGAUGUGAAAUCCCUCGGCUUAACCGGGGAACUGCGUCUGAUACUGGAUGGCUUGAGUUCGGGAGAGGGAUGCGGAAUUCCAGGUGUAGCGGUGAAAUGCGUAGAUAUCUGGAGGAACACCGGUGGCGAAGGCGGCUCACUGGGGCUUUUCUGACGCUGAGGAACGAAAGCCAGGGUAGCGAACGGG
rnacentral:rRNA from 1 species